rnacentral:rRNA from 1 species
AUUGAACGCUGGCGGCAGGCUUAACACAUGCAAGUCGAGCGAGCGGCGGACGGGUGAGUAAUGUCUGGGAAACUGCCUGAUGGAGGGGGAUAACUACUGGAAACGGUAGCUAAUACCGCAUACCAUCAGAUGUGCCCAGAUGGGAUUAGCUCGUAGGUGGGGUAAUGGCUCACCUGGGCGACGAUCCCUAGCUGGUCUGAGGGGAUGACAGGCCACACUGGAAAUGAGACACGUUCCAGAGUCCAACGAGAGGCAGCAGUGGGGAAUAUUGAACAAUGGGCGCAAGCCUGAUGCAGCCAUGCCGCGUGUGUGAAGAAGGCCUUCGGGUUGUAAAGAACUUUCAGCGAGGAGGCGUUACUCGCAGAAGAAGCACCGGCUAAUUCCGUGCCAGCAGCCGCGGAAUAC